rnacentral:rRNA from 1 species
CGCGUAGGUGGUUGUGUAAGUCAGAUGUGAAAUCCUUCGGCUCAACUGGAGAACUGCAUCUGAAACUGCACGACUCGAGUACAGGAGAGGGAAACGGAAUUCCAGGUGUAGAGGUGAAAUUCGUAGAUAUCUGGAGGAACACCGGUGGCGAAGGCGGUUUCCUGGCCUGAUACUGACACUGAGGCGCGAAAGCGUGGGGAGCAAACAGGAUUAGAUACCCUGGUAGUCCACGCCGUAAACGGUGAGUACUGGGUGUGGGAGGUGUAAUGCCUUCUGUGCCGAAGCUAACGCGUUAAGUACUCCGCCUGGGGAGUACGGCCGCAAGGUUGAA